GUCACUGCAAAAUCAGUGACCGGGUGUGGAAACCCGAUAAUCUCUAGGCGCACUAGCGCCCCCAUUUCAGCAGGCGCUUUUUUU
rnacentral:sRNA from 1 species